GAUGAACGCUGGCGGCGUGCUUAACACAUGCAAGUCGAACGGAAAGGCCCUGCUUUUGUGGGGUGCUCGAGUGGCGAACGGGUGAGUAACACGUGAGUAACCUGCCCUUGACUUUGGGAUAACUUCAGGAAACUGGGGCUAAUACCGGAUAGGAGCUCCUGCUGCAUGGUGGGGGUUGGAGAGUUUCGGCGGUGGGGGAUGGACUCGCGGCUUAUCAGUUUGUUGGUGGGGUAGUGGCAUACCAAGGCUUUGAGGGGUAGGCGGCCUGAGAGGGUGGACAGACACAUUGGGCCUGCGGUAGGGCCCAGACUGCUACGUGGCGCAAGAGUGGGGAAUAUUGCACAAUGGGCGGGAGCCAGAUGCAGAAGCGCCGCGUGCGGGAUGAGCGGCUUCGGGUUGUAAACCGCUUUCGCCGGUGACGAAGCGUGAGUGACGGUACUGGGUAAAGAAGCACCGGCUAACUACGUG
rnacentral:rRNA from 1 species